UACGGAGGGCGCAAGCGUUGUUCGGAAUCACUGGGCGUAAAGCGCGUGCAGGCGGCUUGGUAAGUCGGAUGUGAAAUCCCGGAGCUCAACUCCGGAACUGCACCCGAUACUGCCUCGCUAGAGUCCCGGAGAGGAUGGCGGAAUUUCCGGUGUAGAGGUGAAAUUCGUAGAUAUCGGAAGGAACACCAGCGGCGAAGGCGGCCAUCUGGACGGUGACUGACGCUCAGACGCGGAAAGCGCGGGGAGCAAACAGG
rnacentral:rRNA from 1 species